GACGAACGCUGGCGGCGUGCCUAAUACAUGCAAGUAGAACGCUGAAGAGAGGAGCUUGCUCUUCUUGGAUGAGUUGCGAACGGGUGAGUAACGCGUAGGUAACCUGCCUGGUAGCGGGGGAUAACUAUUGGAAACGAUAGCUAAUACCGCAUAAAAUGGAUUAUCGCAUGAUAAUCCAUUGAAAGGUGCAAAUGCAUCACUACCAGAUGGACCUGCGUUGUAUUAGCUAGUUGGUGGGGUAACGGCUCACCAAGGCGACGAUACAUAGCCGACCUGAGAGGGUGAUCGGCCACACUGGGACUGAGACACGGCCCAGACUACUACGGGAGGCAGCAGUAGGGAAUCUUCGGCAAUGGACGGAAGUCUGACCGAGCAACGCCGCGUGAGUGAAGAAGGUUUUCGGAUCGUAAAGCUCUGUUGUAAGAGAAGAACGAGUGUGAGAGUGGAAAGUUCACACUGUGACGGUAUCUUACCAGAAAGGGACGGCUAACUACGUG
rnacentral:rRNA from 1 species